AAAUUCAUCUUGAAAGAGAAAGCAAAGGACAUUGCUGCCUAAAUUCUCCAUUAAGAUAAACAUUCUCCCUACAUUCAAUUAUCUGUCCUUCCAAGACUCAACAGCAAAAAGUCAUCAAACAUCAAAACAAAGGAAACGGAAAUCUUCUAGGAAAACAACCAUGACAGAUGAUUGCAGAACAUCAAAUUGAUGAGUGAAUACUUCACCAGAUCUGGUUGCCUCAACAGCGAAAAUAGCCAAAAUGUUAAGACAGUCAAAUAAGAUUGAUUAUUUCUGAUACAAUCUGUGGGUGGUUGACCCAAGAAUUCGCAGCCUAAUCACGCAUAUAAACAACAGAGGCUGUCUCGGCAGAUGCAGAAGCCGGCAAAGGACAAGUGAGAAAUCCGUCAAUCACCUGGAUGCCUCAUCGUUGCCGAGCGGGGGAGUGGUGUGCAGAGAAACACCCAGAAGAGUGCCUAGAUUGCUUCUGGGUGCUGGGUGUCACAGGAGGCAAACAGCCUUAAAAGCUGGGGAUUCUGAUCCUUUCUGUUUCUAACGAAAAGACAGUCUGGCUUGUAAUGGAAAAACAGAUUCCCUCAAAUUGUUGUCUAGAGGUGCUGAAUCAUGCAUGAAUGUCAGGAGAUGACGCCAACCACGGCAUCAUUUCAUGGGGACUUUAUCUGGUGUGAACCAAGAGAAUUCUACUUUAUGAAUUUUCUUUAAACAUCCACAGAUAAUUGUUGUGCUGUGUCAUAUACCAAAAGGGAAAUUAAAUCUCUCUCAUAAUUGGAUUUGGUAUUUGCAGGCUUUCCUGAAGACAAGGGAAAGGAAAUUCAUUUCAGACUUUUAAAAAAACCUUGAAUUAAAGAAUUGCGAUCACCAUAUCAGGUGCCCAUCUGAAUUUAACCCACCACUUGCAGAGGGAUGAACGCCUUGGCGUGAUGGCACAGUCCUUCCUCCCUGCCUCCAGCCUCCUCCACUCUUCCAAUCCCAUCCACAGGCACAAGAUUUCUGACAGUUGUGAAUCAUUUCCCCCAUCUGGAAAGAUAAAGGAACGUGUUCUCCCCACUUCGGUCCAGCUGCAACCAUCUCAGAGUUUAUAGUUCCAUAUUGUUUUUCAACAACAGCAUUGAAAAUAAAAAUCUUGGCUCAAGAAGGAGCACCACCCCGCCUAGAGUGACAUGUCAGCCACCCAAAAUGUAAGCACCCUUUAUGUCCCAGUAAUGUCUAGUAAUGUUUACAGUCCAGUAAUGUUUGAUCACUUCCCAAACACUAAGCCAACUCUGGGCUCUGUACUUACUUCCUUGUUCCUUUCUCUUUAUUCUGUAAACGCUUCCCACCUACCACCCCAUCUUGCAGUUCUCCAGAUGGACACGUCCACUUUAUGAAGUAUUAAAAAAAAGUUUGUUUGUAUUACC